rnacentral:rRNA from 1 species
CCUACGGGAGGCAGCAGUAGGGAAUCUUCCACAAUGGACGAAAGUCUGAUGGAGCAACGCCGCGUGAGUGAUGAAGGUUUUCGGAUCGUAAAACUCUGUUGUAAGGGAAGAACAAGUACGAGAGGUAAUGCUCGUACCUUGACGGUACCUUGCGAGAAAGCCACGGCUAACUACGUGCCAGCAGCCGCGGUAAUACGUAGGUGGCAAGCGUUGUCCGGAAUUAUUGGGCGUAAAGCGCGCGCAGGCGGCCUUUUAAGUCUGAUGUGAAAGCCCCCGGCUCAACCGGGGAGGGUCAUUGGAAACUGGAAGGCUUGAGUACAGAAGAGAAGAGUGGAAUUCCAUGUGUAGCGGUGAAAUGCGUAGAGAUGUGGAGGAACACCAGUGGCGAAGGCGACUCUUUGGUCUGUAACUGACGCUGAGGCGCGAAAGCGUGGGGAGCAAACAGGAUUGGAUACCCUGGUAGUCCACGCCGUAAACGAUGAGUGCUAGGUGUUGGGGGGUUUCCGCCCCUCAGUGCUGAAGCUAACGCAUUAAGCACUCCGCCUGGGGAGUACGGCCGCAAGGCNGAAACUCAAAUGAAUUGACGG